rnacentral:rRNA from 1 species
UACGGGAGGCAGCAGUGGGGAAUAUUGCACAAUGGGCGCAAGCCUGAUGCAGCCAUGCCGCGUGUAUGAAAAAGGCCUUCGGGUUGUAAAGUACUUUCAGUCGUGAGGAAGGUGUUAAGGUUAAUAACCUUAGCAAUUGACGUUAGCGACAGAAGAAGCACCGGCUAACUCCGUGCCAGCAGCCGCGGUAAUACGGAGGGUGCGAGCGUUAAUCGGAAUUACUGGGCGUAAAGGGCACGCAGGCGGUUAAUUAAGUUGGAUGUGAAUCCCCGGGCUUAACCUGGGAAUGGCAUUCAAGACUGGUUAGCUAGAGUCUUGUAGAGGGGGUUAGAAGUUCCAUGUGUAGCGGUGAAAUGCGUAGAGAUGUGGAGGAAUACCGGUGGCGAAGGCGGCCCCUGGACAAACGACUGACGCUCAUGUGCGAAAGCGUGGGGAGCAAACCGAGGGAUUAGAU